ACGAAAGUCUGACCGAGCAACGCCGCGUGAGUGAAGAAGGUUUUCGGAUCGUAAAGCUCUGUUGUAAGUCAAGAACGUGUGUGAGAGUGGAAAGUUCACACAGUGACGGUAGCUUACCAGAAAGGGACGGCUAACUACGUGCCAGCAGCCGCGGUAAUACGUAGGUCCCGAGCGUUGUCCGGAUUUAUUGGGCGUAAAGGGAGCGCAGGCGGUCAGGAAAGUCUGGAGUAAAAGGCUAUGGCUCAACCAUAGUGUGCUCUGGAAACUGUCUGACUUGAGUGCAGAAGGGGAGAGUGGAAUUCCAUGUGUAGCGGUGAAAUGCGUAGAUAUAUGGAGGAACACCAGUGGCGAAAGCGGCUCUCUGGUCUGUCACUGACGCUGAGGCUCGAAAGCGUGGGUAGCGAACAGGAUUAGAUACCCUGGUGGUCCACGCCGUAAACGAUGAGUGCUAGGUGUUAGGCCCUUUCCGGGGCUUAGUGCCGGAGCUAACGCAAUAAGCACUCCGCCUGGGGAGUACGACCGCAAGGUUGAAACUCAAAGGAAUUGACGGGGGCCCGCACAAGCGGUGGAGCAUGUGGUUUAAUUCGAAGCAACGCGAAGAACCU
rnacentral:rRNA from 1 species